AGGAUGAACGCUGAGCGGUAUGCUUAACACAUGCAAGUCGAACGGUGUCUUCGGACAUAGUGGCGGACGGGUGAGUAACGCGUGAGAAUCUAGCUUCAGGUUGGACAACCACUGGAAACGGUGGCUAAUACGGAUGUGCCGAAAGGUGAAAGGCUUGCUGCCUGAAGAUGAGCUCGCGUCUGAUUAGCUAGUUGGUGGGGUAAGAGCCUACCAAGGCGACGAUCAGUAGCUGGUCUGAGAGGAUGAUCAGCCACACUGGGACUGAGACACGGCCCAGACUCCUACGGGAGGCAGCAGUGGGGAAUUUUUCCGCAAUGGGCGAAAGCCUGAUCGGAGCAAUACCGCGUGAGGGAGGAAGGCUCUUGGGUUGUAAACCUCUUUUCUCAGGGAAGAACACAAUGACGGUACCUGAGGAAUCAGCAUCGGCUAACUCCGUGCCAGCAGCCGCGGUUAAUACCGGAGGAUGCAAGCGUUAUCCGGAAUUGAUUGGGCGUAAAGCGUCCGCAGGGUGGCCUUGUAAGUCUGCUGUUAAAGAGCGAGGCUCAACUUUGUAAAGGCAGUGGAAACUACAGGGCUAGAGUGCGUUCGGGGCAGAGGGAAUUCCUGGUGUAGCGGUGAAAUGCGUAGAGAUCAGGAAGAACACCGGUGGCGAAGGCGCUCUGCUAGGCCGUAACUGACACUGAGGGACGAAAGCUAGGGGAGCGAAUGGGAUUAGAUACCCCAGUAGUCCUAGCUGUAAACGAUGGAUACUAGGCGUGGCUUGUAUCGACCCGAGCCGUGCCGUAGCUAACGCGUUAAGUAUCCCGCCUGGGGAGUACGCACGCAAGUGUGAAACUCAAA
rnacentral:rRNA from 1 species